UUAAGUUCAGCGGGUAAUCCUACCUGAUCCGAGGUCAACCAUUGAAUAAAGGUCAAGACCGGGGUCGCCGGCCACUAACGUGCGUGCUGUGAAGCUCGUUGCAUCUAGGGUCGAUCGCGACACCGUCAUUAUCUUUCGAACCCGUCUUUUCAACGACAAGAGGUUCAAUGACAAGCCAGGCUUGAGGGUUGAUAAUGACG
rnacentral:misc_RNA from 1 species